GACGAACGCUGGCGGCGUGCUUAACACAUGCAAGUCGAACGAUGAAGCCGGAGCUUGCUCUGGUGAAUUAGUGGCGAACGGGUGAGUAACACGUGAGUAACCUGCCCUUGACUCUGGGAUAACUGCGGGAAACUGUAGCUAAUACCGGAUACGACCCUCGGAGGCAUCUCCUGGGGGUGGAAAGAAUUUCGGUCAAGGAUGGACUCGCGGCCUAUCAGCUAGUUGGUGAGGUAAAGGCUCACCAAGGCGACGACGGGUAGCCGGCCUGGGAGGGUGACCGGCCACACUGGGACUGGGACACGGCCCAGACUCCUACGGGAGGCAGCAGUGGGGAAUAUUGCACAAUGGGCGCAAGCCUGAUGCAGCAUCGCCGCGUGAGGGAUGACGGCCUUCGGGUUGUAAACCUCUUUUAGCAGGGAAGAAGCGAAAGUGACGGUACCUGCAGAAAAAGCACCGGCUAACUACGUGCCAGCCGCCGCCGUAA
rnacentral:rRNA from 1 species